CGGGGCGUUGUCGUUGAUGUCCUGGAUGUCCACCUCGACGCGGAAAACGUUAAGCGGAUCAUGCACCAGCGCCUCGAAGCUGACGGAACAGGUAGUGUUCCACAGACAUGUCACUUCUGCUAAAGUCAUGCUUUCAUCUCCUCCCCAUACCAAACCCAGAACACAAACAUAACCUCAUUCCUCCUGCCUUUUACAAAAGCUGGAGGAUGAGCAGAUGGCAGCAUCAUACAACACAUGGUUGCAUGAAGAUAAAGUUAUGAAGAGAUCAGAGAAGAGAAACCAAUUUUACCAGUAAGAAGAUCAAAUGCUAUAAGAGAUAUUCACCAGGUAUUGUUCUUGGUCUUCACCAUAACUCUUGAAAUUCAUCCCUGACAGCCACUGAGGUUUCAAGCACAAAUGCAACCCUGAAGUCAUCUUCUGGAAGUAAGGACACAUUCUAGGAAGCAAUCAUCAACUCUCAGCAGUUUUUCUACUUUGUUGCCUGGUCAUUGGAUGCAAAUAUGAUGUAAUAAAUGCAAGUAUCUUUUCAUUGUCA